UGAGAAUGUGCCUUCGGGAACCGUGAGACAGGUGCUGCAUGGCUGUCGUCAGCUCGUGUUGUGAAAUGUUGGGUUAAGUCCCGCAACGAGCGCAACCCUUAUCCUUUGUUGCCAGCGGUUAGGCCGGGAACUCAAAGGAGACUGCCAGUGAUAAACUGGAGGAAGGUGGGGAUGACGUCAAGUCAUCAUGGCCCUUACGACCAGGGCUACACACGUGCUACAAUGGCGCAUACAAAGAGAAGCGACCUCGCGAGAGCAAGCGGACCUCAUAAAGUGCGUCGUAGUCCGGAUUGGAGUCUGCAACUCGACUCCAUGAAGUCGGAAUCGCUAGUAAUCGUGGAUCAGAAUGCCACGGUGAAUACGUUCCCGGGCCUUGUACACACCGCCCGUCACACCAUGGGAGUGGGUUGCAAAAGAAGUAGGUAGCUUAACCUUCGGGAGGGCGCUUACCACUUUGUGAUUCAUGACUGGGGUGAAGUCGUAACAAGGUAACCGUAGGGGAACCUGCGGUUGGA
rnacentral:rRNA from 1 species